AUUGAACGCUGGCGGCAGGCCUAACACAUGCAAGUCGAACGAGUGGCGGACGGGUGAGUAAUGUCUGGGAAACUGCCCGCUGGAGGGGGGUAACUGCUGGAAACGGUAGCUACUACCGCAUACCAUCGGAUGUGCCCAGAUGGGCUUAGCUAGUAGGUGGGGUAACGGCUAACCUAGGCGACGAUUCCUAGCUGGUCUGAGAGGAUGACCAGCAACACUGGAACUGAGACGUGGGCCAGACUCCUACGUGAGGCAGCAGUGGGGAAUAUUGCACAACGGGCGCAAGCCUGAUGCAGCCAUGCCGCGUGUAGGAAGAAGGCCUUGGGGUUGUAAAGUACUUUCAGCGAGGAGGCGUUACUCGCAGAAGAAGCACCGGCUAACUCCGUGCCAGCCGCCGCGGUAAUUC
rnacentral:rRNA from 1 species